CAAUCGCACCAACCUUUAUGUAGUUUGACCUGAUAGUGUCCCAUUACCCGCCUCUCAUUGUGGUCCAUUGUCUUCUAGACACUAAAAUUAUAAUUUUGACGAUAAAAUCUUGUGACCAAAUAUGUGUUAGAUUUGUUAGUUUCCUUUUUCAUAACUUUCAUGAGGUUUUCGCUACGUAGUUGCUCCAAUUCUAACAUUGAACUCCACUUUGAAAUUUUGUUAGCGAAUAAUGAUCCUAACCUAUAAUAGGUUGCUCUCACCAACACAUUUAUGUGUAAG
rnacentral:lncRNA from 1 species